AAACAGUCGUGUUAUCGACUUAUGUGGAUUUAGUAUGUUUUAUCGGAUUUUUGCGCUGGUAUUUUAUAAAGAACUGGAUGUUUAUGGAAAAAGAGUUAUUUGUUGUUAAAGUGAUUUAUGGUAACAUGCCGUUCCCGAGAGAGGGUGAGACGGAUGUUACACGUGGCACGCCGUUCCCGAGAGAGGGUGAGACGGGUGUUACAGUUUUGGUAUCAGAGCGAGGUUUAGCUGACCCGGUUUUGACCCGGGGGCUGUUUAGAGUUAGAACGCUCGAGUAUUCGGAAUUUGUUUUUAAAACAAAAGUUGUUUCGGGAAUGGGAGAAUUUCUAAAAAAAAAAAAAAAAAAUGAUGACACACCUUUCUGUUGAGUAUUAAGUGUAUUGUUAGUAGCGUCCGCAUCUCCGCUAAAGCUAAUCGAGUUUCCUCCAUUUCAGAUGGGGACAAUAGUUUUCUUUGGAUUAUUAAGUUGACUUGGAGAAGUUAACUUUAUUUACCAAUUAGCCAACAUUAAAAAGAGAACUAGUGAGGACCAUAGUUUUCUUGGACUGGCAAGUUAGUGUCAGAAGUUUGUAUAAGAGUUUGCUAUGGAUAAACCAAUGUUUUGACUCAUAAGAAUGGACGUGAAGUUCGAGUGGAUGGAGGAGUGGGAGAGUAACUUCCAAAUGGUUAACUGACAUUUGACGGAAACAAGUGUUACUACGACCAAAGAUGAGAUUCCGAGAUGGUUCUACAAAGUUCAAAGACGUGAUUUUCUAUCGAGCAAGUCAGUCUAUUUUAGUCUUAUGUAUAGAGAGCACUUAAGGGAAGUGCUAAAAAGGGGUGGAGAGUAGUGUGGGCGGACCCCACACGACAACCCAAUAAUGUAUUUCGACAAAGAACAUGUUGUGAUGUUUACAACAAAGUGUAAAGAUAAGUUGUGGUAGCAAACACACAAGCCAAGUUAUGCUUAUGUAUGGAGAACACUUAAGAAAAUUAUUACAAAGGAAGUGGCAAAGAGCAGUGUGGGAGGACACAUUACGGUAAUCUACACUAUGAAUGUUUUUUUUUAAGAAUGUGGAUGUGAUAGAGUGUCAUAACAAGAGGAAGUUAUGCCAAUGGGGUUGUGCUGUAUUAUUUCCAUUGACUUCAGCGAAGUUAUUUUUACCCGAAAGGAAAAGGGUAUGGUGAAUAAAAUUUGCUAUUGAACUGCCAAAGACGAUUUACAAUAAGGACACAACUUGGAUAGUUGUAGAGCGGGCUAGGUCAAGAUGAAAGGUGUCUGGGAGGAAAAUUUUUAUAUUGUGGGUUUGGAGAAAGCCUUAAAAAUGUUGGAAUAUAAUCUUCAAUCUGACUAUAUGGCAAAGGAAUCCACUAAGGAUAUAGUGAAACGGAAAUCACUAAGGACUUUGAGAAGACAUUAUUUUGGAUUUGGAGUUUGCAUAAUGCAGGAAAGAUAUUCUGUGGCAAAUGAGCAAUUACGUGGAAAAAGUAAUACUUCGAAAGAAUAAGGAUUUCAAAAAGAGUGUUAGGAAAACACUACGUGAGUUUUACAAGUUUGUAGCUGGGAGUUAGAAUUGCAGAGUGAGUGCAUCAGAAUCGUUGUGGACCUUAAUCAACGUGUCACAUUAAACCAUAACGGGCAUGGUUAGAAUCGUAUUUCGGAGCAUUGUUAAAUAAAGACGUAUGUUUGUGCAUCAGUCAUUUUUACAAAGACAAGGUAAUGGAAAAACCGUUGUUGAAAAUUUACUUGGAAAUUUGGAAGAUGAGUUUUCUGUUUAACUCAAGAAGGUUAAGCAACUAUGACAUUAGAUGUUCCAUGUGGUCAUAUUGCUUGACAAUGGAAUCAACCAUAUUCUAGGGGAAGAGUAGGUUAUUAAUUAAAUCAAGAGCUAAAUAUGAGAUUGCAAAGAGGGACUCCACACUGCGGAGAAUAGUAUGUUCAUGUAUAAGAACCGAAUUAGGGUGCCAGAUGCCAAAGGUCUGAAGGAUGAGAUCUUGGCACAAGCUCACAGUUCACGGUUUUCGGUUCACCCUGGAACGACUAAGAUGUAUCAUGACCUAAAGCGGUAUUAUAAUUGGACCAAUAUGGAACGUGAUGUGGCUGCUUGGGUAUCAAAGUGUCAGAUUUGUCAGCAAGUAAAAACAGAGUAUAAAGUUCCAAGUGGUUUACUCCAGAAUUUACCCUUAUCCUGGAACGACUAUGAUAACAAUGGAUUUUGUCACCGGACUUCCAACAACCACCAGGUGGUAAGAAUGUCAUUUGGGUGAUCGUGGACCGACUCACCAAGACAGCUCAUUUCUUGGCCAUCAAGAAAUUAGACAAUGCAGAUGUCUUAGCGCAGCUGUACCUAGACAAGAUUGUUUCUAAGCAUGGGGUGCCAAUAAGCUUAGUGUCGGAUCGGGAUCCAAAAAUUUACAUAUACUUUCUAGCAAGCUUUACAGAAGGCCUUGGGAACAAAGGUACGCCUUAGUACAACUUAUCAUCCCCAGACUGAGGGGCAGUCUGAGAGGACAAUUCAAACGCUAGAGGACAUGUUGAGAACAUGCGUACUCGACUGGGAGGAGAACUGGCUCGAGUACCUACCCUUGGUAGAAUUUGUGUACAAUAACACUUAUCACUCCAGCAUGGGAAUGGCACCAUCUGAGGCUCUUUAUGGUAGGCCGUGUCGUACCCCACUUUGUUGGACCGAAGUGGAGGAGUUCUGUGACUUAGAAUCUAUAAUGGUUCAAGAAGCGGUAAAACAAGUUGAGAUGCUCAAGAGUCGACUGAAGGAAGCACAUGACCGUCAGAAGAGCUAUGCAGACAAGCGCAGGAACGAUUUAGAGUUCGAGGUGGGUGACUUAGUAUACCUUAAAAUGAGGACAUUUCAGGAAGCGCUAAGACUCGAAAACUAAAGAAGCUUAAGCCGAGGUCCCAUGUACCGUAUCCUAUUGUUGAGCGGAUUGGAGCAGUAGCCUACCGUUUGGGUUUAUCGACAGAGUUGUCAGACUUCCAUGAUGUGUUCCACGUGUCAGUUUUGAGAAAGGUUGUCAGAGAGCCAAAGCUUAUUUUGCAGCAUCCGCCUAGGGUUCUCCGUAAGAAUCUGACAGUACCGAGUCGACCAGUUGAGAUUUUGGAGCGGCAAGAACAAGUCGUACAGGGAAAGAUGGUGGUAAAGAUCAGGGUUCGUUGGGAGAGUGACGGGAUCCAGGAGGAAACUUGGGAGUCCGAAGAUGAGAUGAGGUCAGACUACCCAGAGCUGUUUUGGAUGAGAAUGAGCAUGCGAAUGAGGAUUUGAAUUCGAGGACGAAUUCCUUAUUAGUGGGGAAGAAUUGUAACAACCCAUUUAAGGCCCAAGGCCCAUCCGCUGAAGCCCAUGAGGCCCAAUUCUUUGACCUAGGUAUCCUCCUCUAUUCCUCUAUAAAUACCCUCCUCUAUCUCUCAUUUUUCCCACAACUCUCCUGAGUAGUAUUACUCUGCAGAAAUCUCGCCAGAGUUAGCACCACCGAACCGCCGUCCACCCUCUCCCGUAACCGAGCCGACCAAGCCAACGGAAAGCUUAGUCGAAGGUAACUCCUAAAACCGAGUUUUAAAGGUUUUAGUUUCGGGCCGUUUAGUAUUUUCAAGAUUUCUCCCUAACCGCUUCGAAUCUCGCAAAACCAAGGGUACCAUCGGAUUCGUGACGACGAGAAGAAGCCGGAGACACCAAGCGCUGCCACCGCCGACGAGCCACGCGCCGCCACGCGCCGGAAGAAGGAAGCGCGUGACGCCCACGCGCAGCCACGCGCCGCCGAGUCCUCGGAGCGUGGAGCUCACGCGCCGCCGCCGGUGACCGGAACCGCCGCUGUUCUCCGGAGCCGCCGUGACCGGCAGCCGUCCGUUCGCCGCCGGGAUUCCGCCGCCGCGUCGUCGCCGGACCGCCGUCGCCGGACCGCCGUCGCCGCCGGUGACUUUUCCGGUAAGGUUCGCCGGAUUUGUUGCCGCCGACCGGUUUGGGUUAACCGGUCGGUUUAAAUUGAUUUAAUCCGGUUGAAAUCGAUUUGGUCUUGGUUUAGGUUAACCGGUUGGUUUAAAUCAAUUGAUUCUCGGUUUAGGAUAACCGUUCAGUUUAAAUCAAUUGAUUCUCGGUUAAAGUUAACCGGUCGGUUUAAAUCAAUUGAUUUCUGGUUUAAGUUAACCGGAUCGAUUUGACUGGUUGGACCGUUGACCGUUGACUGUUGACCGUUGACUUUGACCGUUGACCGUUGACUUUGACCAGUUGACCCGAAAACCGUUUUUCUUCGUUCGGACGCCGUUUGACUCGAUUUUUCGUUCCGGUUUCAGAUCCGGAGUCGGUUUAUUCAUUCGAGGUCCAGAAGUCGUAGGUUCAGCAUUGCUAAGGUGAGGGCUAUUUCCAAACCGCUGUGCUUUGUUCGAGAAUCCUAAUUUACGAAUAGUGCAGCACUGAAUGUGAUGUGUUUCAAUGAUCGAGUCUAGUUAGUUUGAUUGCUUAAAUUGGACAUAGGAAGAUAGAUGAUUAAACCCAUUUGUUUGUCACAUACUGUUAAAUGUUUUUUUGUUAUAAAUAUAUAUAUAUAUAUAUAUAUAUUAUAUGAGAUAUAGCGGAUACAGAUAAAGGAACUUCUGUAUGGUGCCGCAUUGUUUGAGGUAGGGGUGAGGGCAAUGCAUAAUCGAUCUGUUGCCCUCCACCUUAAGAUCGAUAAGCGUCCCAGGGGCGGUGUGAGUGGGCACUAUCCCAUGAGUUACCUCUGUGUGAGGGUGUGAUUGGGCACUAUCCCAUAAAUGAUCUCGUUGAGGGUGUGAUUGGCCACUAUCCCUCCGUAGGAAAAUUGUAUGUUGAUUGAGCACUGUAGGUGCUGUGUUUGCUCAUAUUUUGUACUCCAUUAUUUUGCGAUUAGUUUUCUUGGCUGAGUCAGUGACAUGCGGACUUAGCAUCCCAUACCUCACUGAGCGACUCCCCUGUUGCUCACCCCUCUUUCCCCAUUUCAGGUGAGCCAGACGAGUAGUUAUGACUUGAUGAGUUGGGAUGUGUCAUUUUGGGAUGGAUUAUCGUUUUCAGUAUUCUAUUCGAGACUUUUAUUAAACAGUCGUGUUAUCGACUUAUGUGGAUUUAGUAUGUUUUAUCGGAUUUUUGCGCUGGUAUUUUAUAAAGAACUGGAUGUUUAUGGAAAAAGAGUUAUUUGUUGUUAAAGUGAUUUAUGGUAACAUGCCGUUCCCGAGAGAGGGUGAGACGGAUAUUACACGUGGCACGCCGUUCCCGAGAGAGGGUGAGACGGGUGUUACACUUCUUCUCAACUUCAACUUCAAACUUCCUAAUGGGAUGAAAGCAGAUGAGAUCAAUAUGGAUGUCAUGACGGGUCUUGCUAUGCAUAAGUCGCAGCAUCUCAAGCUUGUUCCCGAGAAAGUGAACAAAUAGUCAAAUAAAUCUAUCACUGUGGUUAUAUAAUAUAUGUUCUUAUAGUUCAUUUUGCUUCAAGGUUUGGUUUCUUUAUUAAAUGUUAGUCCUCUCUCUUAUCUUUGUACCUUUCUCUUAAUAUUUUCAUCAAGGAAGCAAUUUACGUUGAUGUCUUUUGUGAUUCUUAUAUGUAUCGGUGGAUGGCUACAAAAUUUGAGGUAAAUAUGAUUUAGUAGCUAAGCUUUGAAAGGGUAGACAUUUCGGUUUAUUUUUCAGGUUUGGUUCGGGUUUGGUUAAUUCAGUUUUACAAAAACUCUAACUGAACUCAAACCAAAACUCUAGUUUUGUUUGGUUGGUCUUAAUUCGGUUUAAUUAUUCAUAUCUAAGCAAGAAAGAGAUGUCAAUUUAAUUAUUUAAACAAACACCUAUAAAAAAACUAGGUAAAAGAAACUAAGUACUCCAAUCAUUAAAACCAAACUUAGAAAAGAAAAAAAAAAAAUGAAGAGAAAAAAUCUAACCAAAUCUUCAAUUGUGAGAUGAAAGUUAAAAGCAUACAAACAAAUCAUAUAAUAUAAUAGGACAGUUCUUUUUCAAAAUAGAGUGAAACACCCCAACCCAUUUUUUUUUAUUUAAAUAAACUCAUGUCUAGUGAUCCCAUACUCACUAAACACCUCAACACAAUCAACGGGAAAGAGCAUUAAAGUCUUAAAAAUAAAUCCAAUAAAAUAACCAAUAGUUCAACAAUAACAAAUCUCAACUCAAAAAUUUAUGAAAAGCAACCUAGGUGAAAGUUCUAUCUCUCUGAACUAACAACCUAGCAAAACAGACACAACAACGAUGAUCACAACACACGAACAUCUAGAUCAUCCCCUCUUCCUCGCCACGAUUCCACGUCACACUUUGCCUUUACCUGCAUCACAACACGAAUGAGAUGCGUAAGUAUUAUCAUAAAUACUUAGUGAGGCAAUCCUCCCAAGCAACAGGCUAUACACACAAGCAAUAGAAACAAUACACAAAAACAGCAAACUCAAACAAACCAGACAACCAGACUUUCUGACGAACAUGUGUCGAUCGACACACGACCUCCGUGUCGAUCGACACUCAGCCCGAUUGGUGUCGAUCGACAGACACUCCCUGAUCGACACCUUGCCCGAUCUGUGUCGAACGACACCUUCCAUUGGUGUCGAACGACACCUUCCAUUGGUGUCGAACGACACCAAUCGCGCAGGCACUUUUCCAGCGAUUUCCACAUCGCGAAUUCUCCUUCUCCAGUGCCCUAAUUAGACCAGCGACUCACACACAGGCCACACAAGGACCCAGCAAGGCAAUCACGACCAAGCAAACACACAAAACAGUAUAACUCAUCAAAUCAACACAUAAACGGUUCACACAAAGGAUCUAAUGCUCAGAUAAGCCCUCAGUCAUGCACUCACCUCUUCUCUGGAAGAAAACUGAACAAAACUGCACGAACACAGGAAGGAGAACGACCCCUACAAGCUUCUCAACGCACCACCGGACUUAGAUCUCCUUCACCACUAGGAAAUCUCUCAGAAACAGGCUCAGGAACUCACAGAAAGGCUCUCAGGAACUUUUCUCUCUAAAACUCUCUUGGAAAACGAUAAAAUGGCUGAUGAAAGCCCUAGGUCGCAUUCCCUGAACCUUAUAAACGAGCCCAUUAGGGUUUUCCUUCCCUAAACCGAACGAAAUCGAAACCGAACGAAAUCGCACAAUCGAAAGCCCAAAAGCCCAAUUGUCGAAAACGUUAGUGUCGAUCGACACACCCUAAUGGUGUCGAUCGACACGCUGAACCGAAACCUGGUUCGCGGGCGUUACAAUUCUCCCCUAGCUUAACACCUCCAAUCCGCAAACUCUGAACAACCGAAACGUCGGUCCGCACUUUCUCCAAUCCGACCCCUCCGGGUCCCAGCUUAGCCGAUAUACUCCCGACUUCCGCUAGUCAUUGUUGCUCACGACUCCAAUACUGCUCUCAGACCGCAGUCUUUGAGCAUAAACCGCUACUCUCAGGCCUCGGCCUACGGUAUCUCAGGUAUCGAAUGUAUUAUCCUCCCCGCUCACAGGUCAAAACCCAGAGUUGUGUCCGCUCACUAUCAGCCACAAAGUCAUCAAGUUCCGACACUUGGAGAAGAUAAUACUACAAACUCGCUGUCGGGUCGUCACCCUAAAGAGCGUGCUCUCGGAUCGUCACCCGAAGCCACCGUACCCAACGCACUCUAAAGACACCAAGUCCCUCAAAUACCGGUACCUCUGGAGCAUACUCCGCUCCUCUCAAGUCAUCAGGACACUCAAGUCCCGGAGCAACAAUACUAACCGCUUUCGAGUACUCCCUCGAACUUUCCAAAAAUAGAAAUUCCACUUGAGGAAACUUUCCCUUUUUAGAAACCGCUCAAUACAUUCUUAAAUAAGACAACUCAAGUCAAAUCCAAGAAAUACUCAUCUUAUUAAUCUCAAAAUGUCAUAAUCGUUACAACUCCAAACGAAAAUACAUAAUGAAAGAAAAAUAAGAACAACAACUCAAAACUCAAAAACUCCAAAAACUCUGAAAACUCUGAAACUGGAAACCAAGGAUAGGCACUCAAGCAGCCGCCUGCUUCUCGAACCACUUCCCGAACUUUGCCUUCAUCCUCGCCUCUGGCUCCCAAGUCUCCUCCGACACACCGUCGCAGUCCCACUGGACUUUGAUCAAAGGAAUCUUCUUCCGCCGAAGUUCCUUGAUCCUCCUCUCAAGAAUCCUCACUAGUCUCGCCUCCAAAGUCAUGUUGGGCUGAAGAUCCUCAGAAAUCCUAGCCAACACCUGAUCAUCCUUGUGAAGACACUUCCUCAGCAUCGACACAUGGAACACCUUGUGGAACGCGCGCAUGACCUCUGGCAACUCCAGCAUGUAUGCCACUGGUCCCACCCUCUCAACAAUCUCAAACGGACCCAUGUACCUCGGACUCAACUUAUUCUCAGAGAUAGAUCUGUUCGGACCUCGCAACAUGGCCAUCUUAAGGUACACUCUAUCCCCAACCUCGAACUCAAGCUCUCUCCUCCUCUGGUCAGCAUAACUCCGCUGACGAUCCUGAGCUUCCUUCAUGUUCAGCUUCAGAACCCGAAUCCUCUCGGAAGUCUGCUGAACAAAGUCUGCACCAUAUAUGCUCCUCUCUCCCACUUGGGUCCAGUAAAAUGGUGUCCUGCAUGGCUUCCCAUACAACGCCUCAUAAGGAGCCAUCUGAAUACUCGCCUGGUAGCUAUUGUUAUAAGCAAACUCCACCAGACUCAAGUGAUCAGCCCAAUGACCACCCCAAUCCAAGACACACAUUCGCAACAUAUCCUCCAGUGUCUGGAUAGUCCUCUCAGAUUGCCCAUCUGUCUGAGGAUGAUACGCCGUACUCAAAUGCACCUUAGUGCCCAUCUCUGCCUGAAAGGCAUCCCAGAAAGCUGAAGUAAACCUGGGGUCCCUGUCCGACACAAUACUCACAGGUACUCCAUGCAACUUCACGAUCUCGCUCACAUACUUCUUAGCCAAAACCGCCACUCCAUUAGUCUUUCUGAAGGCCAGAAAAUGUGCUGACUUAGUCAGACGGUCCACGAUCACCCAAAUAACAUCCUUGGUCCGUGACACAGGCAAACCAACCACAAAGUCCAUAGUGAUCAUAUCCUACUUCUACUCCGGAAUGGGCAAACUCCGCAACAGACCACUAGGAACCUGAUGCUCAGCCUUCACCAACUGGCAAACGUCGCACUUAGCGACCCAGUCAGCUACAUCCCUCUUCAUCCCAACCCAAUGAUAGUACCGCUUGAGGUCUCGAUACAUCUUGGUCGCUUCCGGAUGAAUGGAAAACAUGCUCGCAUGAGCCUCUCUCAAGAUCUCACGCCGCAACUCCUUAUCUUAGGCACGCAAACCCGCCCAUGCACAAGGAUAGUCCCAUUAGCUGCGAACUGAUACUUAGAGCCCUCUGCCUUAGAAGCCGCAAUCAAACCUUCGUCCUUCUCUUGAGCCAACCGCACUCUACUCAGAAGAUCUGCAUGAUCCACAGCCUCCAACCCCAACGGCUCUCGGGUAAUAGCACACAACCGCAACGCACCAAUCUCGCUCGCCAAGGCUUCCACUCUGCCCUGGAGCAGCCCACACGCUUACGGCUUAGUGCAUCAGCAACCACAUUAGCUUUACCAGGAUGGUAAGCUAUCUCCAGAUCAUAAUCAGCCACCAGCUCCAUCCACCGCCUCUGGCUCAGGUUCAGCUCUGGCUGAGUGAAGAUAUACUUCAAAUCUCAACUCAAGAAUUUAUGAAAAGCAACCUAGGUGAAAGUUCUAUCUCUCUGAACUAACAACCUAGCAAAACAGACACAACAACGAUGAUCACAACACACGAACAUCUAGAUCAUCCCCUCUUCCUCGCCACGAUUCCACGUCACACUUUGCCUUUACCUGCAUCACAACACGAAUGCGUAAGUAUUAUCAUAAAUACUUAGUGAGGCAAUCCUCCCAAGCAACAGGCUAUACACACAAGCAAUAGAAACAAUACACAAAAACAGCAAACUCAAACAAACCAGACAACCAGACUGUCUGACGAACAUGUGUCGAUCGACACACGACCUCCGUGUCGAUCGACACUCAGCCCGAUUGGUGUCGAUCGACAGACACUCCCUGAUCGACACCUUGCCCGAUCUGUGUCGGACGACACCUUCCAUUGGUGUCGAACGACACCAAUCGCGCAGGCACUUUUCCAGCGAUUUCCACAUCGCGAAUUCUCCUUCUCCAUUGCCCUAAUUAGACCAGCGACUCACACACAGGCCACACAAGGACCCAGCAAGGCAAUCACGACCAAGCAAACACACAAAACAGUAUAACUCAUCAAAUCAACACAUAAACGGUUCACACAAAGGAUCUAAUGCUCAGAUAAGCCCUCAGUCAUGCACUCACCUCUUCUCUGGAAGAAAACUGAACAAAACUGCACGAACACAGGAAGGAGAACGACCCCUACAAGGUUCUCAACGCACCACCGGACUUAAAUCUCCUUCACCACUAGGAAAUCUCUCAGAAACAGGCUCAGGAACUCACAGAAAGGCUCUCAGGAACUUUUCUCUCUAAAACUCUCUUGGAAAACGAUAAAAUGGCCGAUGAAAGCCCUAGGUCGCAUUCCCUGAACCUUAUAAACGAGCCCAUUAGGGUUUUCCUUCCCUAAACCGAACGAAAUCGCACAAUCGAAAGCCCAAAAGCCCAAUUGUCGAAAACGUUAGUGUCGAUCGACACGCUGAACCGAAACCUGGUUCGCGGGCGUUACAAUUCUCCCCCACUAACAUAGAUUCGUCCUCGAAUCUAGCUUAACACCUCCAAUCCGCAAACUCUGAACAACCGAAACGUCGGUCCGCACUUUCUCCAAUCCGACCCCUCCGGGUCCCAGCUUAGCCGAUAUACUCCCGACUUCCGCUAGUCAUUGUUGCUCACGACUCCAAUACUGCUCUCAGACCGCAGUCUUUGAGCAUAAACCGCUACUCUCAGGCCUCGGCCUACGGUAUCUCAGGUAUCGAAUGUAUUAUCCUCCCCGCUCACAGGUCAAAACCCAGAGUUGUGUCCGCUCACUAUCAGCCACAAAGUCAUCAAGUUCCGACACUUGGAGAAGAUAAUACUACAAACUCGCUGUCGGGUCGUCACCCUAAAGAGCGUGCUCUCGGAUCGUCACCCGAAGCCACCGUACCCAACGCACUCUAAAGACACCAAGUCCCUCAAAUACCGGUACCUCUGGAGCAUACUCCGCUCCUCUCAAGUCAUCAGGACACUCAAGUCCCGGAGCAACAAUACUAACCGCUUUCGAGUACUCCCUCGAACUUUCCAAAAAUAGAAAUUCCACUUGAGGAAACUUUCCCUUUUUAGAAACCGCUCAAUACAUUCUUAAAUAAGACAACUCAAGUCAAAUCCAAGAAAUACUCAUCUUAUUAAUCUCAAAAUGUCAUAAUCGUUACAACUCCAAACGAAAAUACAUAAUGAAAGAAAAAUAAGAACAACAACUCAAAACUCAAAAACUCCAAAAACUCUGAAAACUCUGAAACUGGAAACCAAGGAUAGGCACUCAAGCAGCCGCCUGCUUCUCGAACCACUUCCCAAACUUUGCCUUCAUCCUCGCCUCUGGCACCCAAGUCUCCUCCGACACACCGUCGCAGUCCCACUGGACUUUGAUCAAAGGAAUCUUCUUCCGCCGAAGUUCCUUGAUCCUCCUCUCGAGAAUCCUCACUAGUCUCGCCUCCAAAGUCAUGUUGGGCUGAAGAUCCUCAGAAAUCCUAGCCAACACCUGAUCAUCCUUGUGAAGACACUUCCUCAGCAUCGACACAUGGAACACCUUGUGGAACGCGCGCAUGACCUCUGGCAACUCCAGCAUGUAUGCCACUGGUCCCACCCUCUCAACAAUCUCAAACGGACCCAUGUACCUCGGACUCAACUUAUUCUCAGAGAUAGACCUGUUCGGACCUCGCAACAUGGCCAUCUUAAGGUACACUCUAUCCCCAACUUCGAACUCAAGCUCUCUCCUCCUCUGGUCAGCAUAACUCCGCUGACGAUCCUGAGCUUCCUUCAUGUUCAGCUUCAGAACCCGAAUCCUCUCGGAAGUCUGCUGAACAAAGUCUGCACCAUAUAUGCUCCUCUCUCCCACUUGGGUCCAGCAAAAUGGUGUCCUGCAUGGCUUCCCAUACAACGCCUCAUAAGGAGCCAUCUGAAUACUCGCCUGGUAGCUAUUGUUAUAAGCAAACUCCACCAGACUCAAGUGAUCAGCCCAAUGACCACCCCAAUCCAAGACACACAUUCGCAACAUAUCCUCCAGUGUCUGGAUAGUCCUCUCAGAUUGCCCAUCUGUCUGAGGAUGAUACGCCGUACUCAAAUGCACCUUAGUGCCCAUCUCUGCCUGAAAGGCAUCCCAGAAAGCUGAAGUAAACCUGGGGUCCCUGUCCGACACAAUACUCACAGGUACUCCAUGCAACUUCACGAUCUCGCUCACAUACUUCUUAGCCAAAACCGCCACUCCAUCGGUCUUUCUGAUGGCCAGAAAAUGUGCUGACUUAGUCAGACGGUCCACGAUCACCCAAAUAACAUCCUUGGUCCGUGACACAGGCAAACCAACCACAAAGUCCAUAGUGAUCAUAUCCUACUUCUACUCCGGAAUGGGCAAACUCCGCAACAGACCACUAGGAACCUGAUGCUCAGCCUUCACCAACUGGCAAACGUCGCACUUAGCGACCCAGUCAGCUACAUCCCUCUUCAUCCCAACCCAAUGAUAGUACCGCUUGAGGUCUCGAUACAUCUUGGUCGCUUCCGGAUGAAUGGAAAACAUGCUCGCAUGAGCCUCUCUCAAGAUCUCACGCCGCAACUCCUUAUCUUAGGCACGCAAACCCGCCCAUGCACAAGGAUAGUCCCAUUAGCUGCGAACUGAUACUUAGAGCCCUCUGCCUUAGAAGCCGCAAUCAAACCUUCGUCCUUCUCUUGAGCCAACCGCACUCUACUCAGAAGAUCUGCAUGAUCCACAGCCUCCAACCCCAACGGCUCUCGGGUAAUAGCACACAACCGCAACGCACCAAUCUCGCUCGCCAAGGCUUCCACUCUGCCCUGGAGCAGCCCACACGCUUACGGCUUAGUGCAUCAGCAACCACAUUAGCUUUACCAGGAUGGUAAGCUAUCUCCAGAUCAUAAUCAGCCACCAGCUCCAUCCACCGCCUCUGGCUCAGGUUCAGCUUUGGCUGAGUGAAGAUAUACUUCAAAUCUCAACUCAAGAAUUUAUGAAAAGCAACCUAGGUGAAAGUUCUAUCUCUCUGAACUAACAACCUAGCAAAACAGACACAACAACGAUGAUCACAACACACGAACAUCUAGAUCAUCCCCUCUUCCUCGCCACGAUUCCACGUCACACUUUGCCUUUACCUGCAUCACAACACGAAUGAGAUGCGUAAGUAUUAUCAUAAAUACUUAGUGAGGCAAUCCUCCCAAGCAACAGGCUAUACACACAAGCAAUAGAAACAAUACACAAAAACAGCAAACUCAAACAAACCAGACUGUCUGACGAACGUGUGUCGAUCGACACACGACCUCCGUGUCGAUCGACGCUCAGCCCGAUUGGUGUCGAUCGACAGACACUCCCUGUGUCGAUCGACACCUUGCCCGAUCUGUGUCGAACGACACCUUCCAUUGGUGUCGAAUGACACCAAUCGCGUAGGCACUUUUCCAGCGAUUUCCACAUCGCGAAUUCUCCUUCUCCAGUGCCCUAAUUCGACCAACGAUUCACACACAGGCCACACAAGGACCCAACAAGGCAAUCACGACCAAGCAAACACACAAAACAGUCAAUAACUCAUCAAAUCAACACAUAAACGGUUCACACAAAGGAUCUAAUGCUCAGAUAAGCCCUCAGUCAUGCACUCACCUCUUUCUGGAAGAAAACUGAACGAAACUGCACGAACACAGGAAGGAGAACGACCCCUACAAGCUUCUCAACGCACCACCGGACUUAGAUCUCCUUCACCACCAGGAAAUCUCUCAGAAACAGGCUCAGGAACUCACAGAAAGGCUCUCAGGAACUUUUCUCUCUAAAACUCUCUUGGAAAACGACAAAGUGGCUGAUGAAAGCCCUAGGUCGCAUUCCCUGAAGUUCAGGGCCUGAACCUUAUAAACGAGUCAAUUAGGGUUUUCCUUCCCUAAACCGAACGAAAUCGCACAAUCGAAAGCCCAAAAGCCCAAUUGUCGAAAACGUUAGUGUCGAUCGACACACCCUAAUGGUGUCGAUCGACACGCUGAACCGAAACCUGGUUCGCGGGCGUUACAUAGAGUGUCACGUCAAUCAAUUAGAAAAAUAUUGAAAAAGUGGCACAGAUUUGGUUAAUCGAUAUAAAGCAUGAAACAACAUCACACCUACCUCUAAAAGGGGAACUUUUACAUGUACUUAAUAUUAUUAUCAUCAACACGGCUGAACUUUAUUGUACAUUACUCUAAUACUCUUCAUCUCCUAUAGACCCUUUAGUUUUUAGAAUUAGUAUAAAUGAAAACAUUUGAAGACAAUGAUUUAUAAAAGAAAAAAACACACACACACACACAUUUAAAGACUUCCACGUAAAAAUAGACCUUCCUAUAUACAAGAUGCAUAUAUCUUAAUAAUUAUCCUUAUGAAAGACAAGUUUCACCGUGGAAGUUCAUUAGUCCAUAAUCAAGUCUUCGCCGAAAGCUUUGCCAUUCUCUUCAGAAAGUCAACCAAGAAAUAUAGCAGCAACGACAUGGGAUUAAAGCAUAUGGGGUUAGAUUUUUUUUGUUUCUUUGGCUUGAAGGACAGAGGUUCUUGAUGUCAUCUCCAUUGAUCAAGUUGCAACGUGCAAUGGAAUGUUUUUCCAAGUGGGGGACGAUGUCUUAUACGUGACAAAGUAGAUCUAGGAACUAUGAAAGAUUCCUAACAAAGAUCUAACUGCAAGCAAGGUAACAUAUGCAAAAAAGGUCAUAUAUCUAUAGGAAUAUAAUCGAGAUCUUUUUGUAUCACUAACUAGAUUCUUGACAGUUCAAAGGAUAAUAUAGCAACAAUGAUUAUAAUCCAAACUGAGAUUGGCGAAUCAACACUCCGUGUAUAUUACGCUCAUGGUGGUAAUACUUUAACCCAAAGAGUAAAAAUCAAGCUACUUGUAUGUUUACAGCUAGAGAAAGAUGCUCAUGAUUCAUGUUUCCGACAAAUUAAUAAGUGCUUUUACCUUUUUUCUUAUUCUCCUAAUCUAAAUGUCACAUUUGCGUUCUUUUUUUUCUUUAACCAAAUUUGAGUUUCCUUUCUCGGAAAUUUAUUUGGAAAUUUUGAAUUAUACAAACGCUAUAAUCUUAAUGUUUAGAACUAAAAAGUUGCAAAUUCUACACUAAAAGAGUAAGUAAAGAAUCAAUAGUCACAUGAUAUAAGGAUAUACAACGAAGAACAUGACAAAUAGGAGUGAUACAUUAUAUUUAUAGAAUAUCCCUAGUGAGGAAAAAUGAUUUCCAGCUACACGAACUAUACACCAACACAUCACCACACAUGCAGACUAUUUUAAUGUCUCGCUAACUACACGAACUAUUGGUAUUACAUACGAACAUCCCCGUACUAUCACCAUAAUCAUUUCCAGAUAAUAUAAAUGUCUUGUUAACUACACGAAGUAUUUCCAUCAAUUUUUUUAAAAAAAAAUAAUUAGAAAAUGAAAAAAUAACUAAAGUUAAUUAGAAAAUGAAAAAAUAACUAAAGUUAAUUAGAAAAAAUAGCCUCACACUUUUAGUUAGAGCCAUAUACUUAGAUUCAAUAGUUGAGAAGGCUACCAACGGUUACUAGUAUGUGAAACCUUUAUUUUCCUUAGAAAAAUGCCAAAGAUUAAUUCAAAAUCUUAGCUGUGAUUAUGUAAGCAGAUUUUGUCUAUAUAAUGCGAGACAGAAAAUUCCCAUUUGAGUGAUAAAAACAAUUUGUUGAUUGAGUGCAUUAAUUUAAAUUGCUGGCAAAAAGUUCAAUGUGAUUACACAAUAUAGUUGAACCCAAUAAGGUGAAGAAGCCUAUGACUAGUAGUAUUAGCCCAUUCCUUAGGAGGAUAUGAAAUGAUUAUAAUCAGUAAUCACCCAAAAAAAAAAAAAAAAAGUUACAUAAUAUCACUUGUCGAUUUUAGGUUUUCAGACCAAAAGUCUCAGAUGCUAUUCUUGAUGAUGACUUCUAUAUAAGCAAUAAUUUCAAAACAGAAAAUAGCUUAUUUUGGAAGCAAAAAGAUUCGAAGGGAUGUUGGAAUCAACUUUAUUCCCCAAUUAAUAUUGGUGCUGUUCGUUUGCCUGCGGCUGUGGCGAACGCAGAUAAUGAUGUUCGUUUCGUUGCCGCCGGUACCUGCGGCAGAACGCUGCGUCAAACGCGAGUCAAUUGCUUUUAAAAUUUCGAUCGCCGAUUUUAUCCAGCGUCUGAUGCUUAAAAGUUGCGGUAUAAAUGAUAAAUUACGAAAAUACCCUUAUUGUUUUGAAAGAUUUACAAAAUAACCUAAACCCUAAAAUCAAAAUUAACGCUGCUCUUGCCGCAGCCUCUUCUUCGUCGCGUCCAAAUCUCUCUCUCGACGACGAAGCUUGAUUCAAAUCUCUCUCUCGACGACGAAGCUGGUUAAAUCUCUCUCUCUCACUCUCUCUUUCUCUGUUUGGUCUGUGAGUGAAUCGAUCUGUUUUUGAUUUGAGCUCAUCGAAGAUUUGAUUAUGGGUAGUUCUAGAUCAGUGAGUGAAUCGAUCUGUGUUGUGGGCUGGUUAACUGCAAAAAUUAGAGAUGUUUUUGGUAUAAAUUCAUAUAUCUCGACCUCUCAGUUUUUUCUGUGAGCUGGUUAACUGAUACAGAACCACACGUGUGGCUCCGCACGUGAGAAGCUAAAGAAUAAUAAGGACGAAUAAGAGGGUGACGCGUGGCAAGCAGAGUGAGGCUGGCGAGAAAUGGCCGUCGCGAGCAGCCUAUUUCAUCAUGCCUUUGUCAUUUUUUUUGUCAAUUUAUCGAUCAAAUUGUAAACUCUUUGGAGAUUCUGGAUUUGAAAGUGCUAGGGUUCUCUCAUCUUGAGAGCUAGCCUCGAUUGGGUGUUUUUCAUGAACAUUGAAUCGAUUUAUCUUGGUUUUGGUGUUGAUUUGUGUUGAUUGUUUUGUGAUUCUUGUGAUUUGGAGUUUGUCUGUAACAUUAACUUCGACGAACACAAACUUUGCUUUGCAAUUUAAUUGCUGGGCCCAUAUGUAAAUGUGUGUUCGUACUGCAAUGGUGAUGGUUCAGCUGUUUCUAUGUCACUUCCUACUUCAGGUAAUCAUUUUGUAUCAUCUCUGUUAAAGGCAUUGAUCUGUUUUGUUUCUAUUUUUGCAGGCCGCUGGUGCUUUGUCCAUUAAAAUUGGUGAGUUUUGUUAGGAUUCGUGUUAUAUUUUGGCAUUAUUAUUAUGCAUAUUACUGGACAUGUUCAUAUGUACGGAUUAUGAAAUAGUUUCUCCUUUAAGAAUGUGCUUAUUUCUCCUUUAUUAUUUGUUUCUAACUUGUAGAUUUGUGUUUUCUCAGUUGGCUGAGGUCAAGAAACAAGCUUCAGUUCUUGAAUCAUAUCUUGAACAGAGGGGAGUUAAACAAUCAGUAAGUUUAUCUACUAAUCAUACAGACAUCCUAAAACUCCAAAACUGAAUGUGUGUACAUGUUAUUUGGAGAAUUAUAGAGUAUGGUUGUCGCUUGAAUAGAUUAUGAAAUAGUUGCCUCAGACUUUAAAGGUUUGCUUGUGGCUGUGUUUACUUGAAUCCGAAUUCAAAAGUUCAUCAAAGUUUAUGGGUUUGCCUUGUCUUUGAUAUCACAUCACAUAGCUGAGUAUUGACUUGUUUUAUUGUCUCUAAUGCUUUGAUUUCUUUUGUAUCUGUUUUCUAUUGCAAUAGUUUUUUAAUUGAAUAAAUUGACUUGGCAAAUAAUUUGAGUUGUAGUAUUCUUUGUCUCUUCUCUCCCUUCAUGUUCGGCCAUUAAAUCCCUUCAUGUUUUAGAAUUUCUUUUGUUCAAUGUGUUUUAUGGUGAGAUAAGCUUGUGGUUUCUUGUAUGAAAUUUGUUCACUUGUUUAACACUUGUUUGUUUGGCUUUUGAUGAUUUUUCAGGUUAAAACGGAAGUCUUUUGAGAGAGAAAAUGGCUAAAAAGAUUAAAUUUUUGCAGCAUAGGACUAGAAGGAACCUUGAUGAUUAUUAGUGUUUUUAAGCUUAAUAAGAUUAUAUUUUUAUUUUAAACUCUCUGUUUUUCUGUUUUGAAUUACGGGAAAGUAUUUGUUUGAGAUAUUUAUAAUCUGUUUAAUCAAGUUCUGUUUAUAUAUGUUUUGGUUUAUUAUUUUUAUUUCAAUUUUUGCUCAUAAUUUAUCACAAAAAUAUGUUAUUAUAAUUACAUUUUAACUAAAAAUUAUUACUAGCUAAGUAAAUAUCUUUAUGGAUGUAAAUUUAUAAAUUAUAUUUUGUUGAUGUAAAAUAAAUUUAUACAAAUUUGACCCAAAAAAUAAAAUUAUAAAAAUAUAUAAAAAUUAUACAAAAUUAUAUUUUUGUCGCGUCAGCGAAACGAACACAAACCCUGUGGCGGCGGCGGCGGCAGAAGUUGCGGCGACAAAACGAACACAAAACCUGCGGCAGCGGCGGCGGCGGAAGCUGCGGCGACAAAACAAACACAAAACCUGCGGCAGCGGUGGCGGCAGAAGCUGCGACGAUGAAACGAACAACAACCUGCGGUAGCGUUACCGCCGCUGCCGCCUGCGGCGGUCAAACGAACAGGCUAUUUCGUUUUAACUCUUAUUGCGUCUGUUUUAUAAUAAUAAGGUUAAAAGUAACUAUUACAAAAAAAAAAAAAAAAAAAAAAAAAAAAAAAAAAAGUUAAAGUUAAAAGUAACUUUCUAAUAGUAUGUAAAGAAUAUUGAUACGGGAAUGAGCAAAAAUCAUGUAUAAAUCAGGCUCUUAUAAGUAGUGGUUGGGUUAAAUGCACUACGACGUAUCCUAUAGGCUAUAACUAUCAGUCAAGGAAACUUGUGUGUGGUUGGAGUUAUAUGCACCAGUUCAACGUUAUCGAGAGCCGUACUCAAAAUUAAAAAGUUUGAAUGUUAUAAACUUAUAAACGAAAGAAAUAGGAGAAGUUCAAUAGUAACAUCAAACAGAAAUAUUAAUCAACAAAACUAAAUUAAAAAAAAAUAAGUCUAAAUUUCAUCUUAUUAAUAUUAUAUGUAAAAAAAAUCAGUACUAAAUUUUAUUUUAUUUUAUUUUUUCAAGUGAUUUAUAAAAUUUUGAACCUUAAUAUUUGGUUUGUGUUGCUUAUGCUCUGGGUUGGUCAUGGAUGGAAAUGCAACUACAACGCAUAUAAACUACAGAGCAAUAAUAUUAUGAUCAAUUUAAUUCAAAAUAUUUAAGAUAUACCACCAACAACUUGAUCGAUAUAUCAUAGAUUUAUAUUACUAUUUUAUAUUAGUGAGUUCGAUAUAUUUGAAAUGCAAAAUUCUUUUUAUCAAAGUACGAAAUUUAUAACUUAAAUAUCUUUUAGAAGAGACAUAUUUAUAUACUUAAAAUCUAUGACUUUUUGCAAACAAAAAUAAUAUCUGGUCAAAUAAACUUUUACUAUGGGCCUGACUGGUUUAAAUGCAGCGGUUGCGUUUGCGGUUGCGGGAGUUUGCGGAAGCGGGCAGUUGCGGAUUCAAGCGUUACCAAACGUUUUGAACGACUGGUUUAGCGUUUGAAAAUAGAUGCGUUUGCGGGAUUUUUAUGACUGGUAAACCAGCGGGUAGUAGCUAAAUUAAAAAAUGACCAAAAUAAUAAGAAAUACUACUAAAAAAAAACAAUAUAUUAUUAUGAUAAUAUUAGAAAAAUUGAACAUACUUAAUAAUUAAAACAUAAAUAAAGUACUAAAUAAUUAUUCAAAAAUAAAGAAAUUUCACAACAAGAUAGUAUUUUAUGCAUCUGGUUUAACACCAAAAAUUGCAUCAUGUAACGGGACAAACUGCAAAUAACGUUGAAUUCGCGGAUUUCUUUUACAAAAAUUAUAAAAUUUCUUCAAGGUAUCUAAACGAUUUUUAACACAGCUCCAACUCAAAUCAAUUCCAAACUGGUCGUUAAUAUUCUUAAGAAUAUUUUCUCUUUGAGCACUACUUAGAAAUCUGAUUUUGGAUUCUUCUUUGGGUUCUUCCGUUUGUUUCUCCAUAUAUAAUAACCCAUUGAAGUAAAGCAUAUGUGAUCUCGUCAAACCAUAUAAAUUUCUGAAAUAUUAAAAUAUAUUUCAAUAAACUAUUCUAAUCCAGUAAAUAACAUAUAAACAUAAAAAAUAUUGUAGAAGUACGGAAACCAAAAGAUUAGGUUGGGAAGCCAUGAAUAUCACCUUAAAACAAAUAUAAUAAAACAUAAUUACAACUAAAAUCAACAUGAUCAUUAGCAAAAUUUAACCAAAUCUACUAUCAUAGAAAAAGAAACACGUUUAAUUAGCAAAAAGAAAACGUUACAAAUAUAUUAGGGUUGAGAUGAACUGACUUUUAUACUAGUUUGUUAGGUAAGAAUAAAAGAUUUGUGAAUCUAAUUUUUUUAAACAUGUUUAAAAAAAAAAAAAAUCCAACCGCUACCGCCCGCAACCGCAAACGCUUGCGGGAAUGAGCUUUUGAAAUCCAGCGAUUUGUAGCGGUUCGAAACGGUAUGGAGCGAUUUCUAUGAUUGGUACCAACCGCUAACAACCGCAAUCGACCGCUAGUAACCGCUAGGCGGGUGCUAGCGGGAGAAACAAUCAAGCCCUAUCUUCAUAAGAGAUGAGAAAUAUCAACUUCAAAACAAAUAAACUACAAAAUCCAAACAGUUACAUUUACAUAUAUAUAUUUUCUAUUUUUAUUUUUAUGUUAGUAUUUGGAUGUGAUAGAAUAUUUUUUUCCGAACACACAGAUCUUAUCUUCACCGAUUUAUUAGAUGAAUACUAUUUACAUUCUUUUUCCUGAUUCACAUGUACUACUAGCAAACAAAACUUAAAAGAAUUUGGCAAUUUGCGUUAUACAAUACGAAAUUUCGUCACGCUGUAAUUUGAAAAGUCAACCCUAGCUAGGCCCCUUUAGCUCUCCUCCUUUUAUAUAAACAGAGAAGCAAACACUUUCUUUCUCAGCCUCUCUGUUUCUUCUUCUCUAAUCUCUCAACAUGUCUUGCUCGGUGACCGAACUCGCCGUCUUGUUAGGUCCCAAUGCCACGGAGGCUGCCAACUACAUCUGUGGCCAGCUAAGCGUCGUCGACAACAAGUUCAUCGACGCCGCUUUCGCCAUAGACACCACUUACCUCCUCUUCUCCGCUUACCUUGUCUUCUCUAUGCAGCUUGGCUUCGCUAUGCUCUGUGCCGGUUCCGUAAGAGCCAAGAAUACGAUGAACAUCAUGCUUACCAACGUUCUUGAUGCUGCGGCCGGAGGUCUCUUUUACUAUCUAUUUGGCUAUGCUUUUGCCUUUGGAUCUCCGUCCAAUGGUUUCAUUGGUAAACACUACUUUGGUCUCAAAGAUAUCCCCACGGCCACUGCUGAUUAUUCCAAUUUUCUCUACCAAUGGGCCUUUGCUAUAGCCGCGGCUGGAAUCACUAGUGGUUCGAUCGCUGAACGGACUCAGUUCGUGGCUUACCUAAUCUAUUCCUCUUUCUUAACCGGGUUUGUUUACCCGGUCGUGUCUCACUGGUUCUGGUCGGUUGAUGGAUGGGCCAGUCCGUUCCGGACCGAUGGAGAUUUGCUUUUCAGAACCGGAGCGAUCGAUUUCGCUGGCUCCGGUGUUGUUCAUAUGGUCGGAGGUAUCGCUGGACUCUGGGGAGCGUUCAUUGAAGGACCACGACUCGGCCGGUUCGAUAACGGUGGCCGUGCCAUCGCUCUUCGUGGCCACUCAGCGUCACUUGUUGUCCUUGGAACAUUCCUCCUUUGGUUUGGAUGGUACGGAUUCAACCCCGGUUCUUUCAACAAGAUCCUAGUCACAUACCAAACAGGAACGUAUCAAGGCCAGUGGAGCGCGGUCGGACGGACGGCCGUCACUACCACCUUAGCCGGCUGCACCGCGGCGCUCACGACUCUCUUCGGAAAACGUCUUCUCUCUGGCCAUUGGAACGUCACCGAUGUAUGUAACGGUCUCCUCGGAGGGUUUGCAGCAAUAACCGGCGGCUGCUCCGUCGUAGAGCCAUGGGCAGCGAUCAUCUGCGGGUUCGUAGCGGCUCUCGUCCUCCUUGGAUGCAACAAGCUCGCGGAGAAACUCAAAUACGACGACCCACUCGAGGCAGCACAGCUCCACGGCGGUUGCGGCGCGUGGGGGCUAAUUUUUACAGCGCUUUUCGCUGAGAAAAAGUACUUAAACCAGGUUUAUGGCGACAGACCCGGAAGGCCUUACGGUUUGUUCAUGGGUGGUGGAGGAAAACUCCUUGGAGCUCAGCUGAUUCAAAUAAUUGUGAUCACAGGUUGGGUUAGUGUGACCAUGGGUACACUUUUCUUUAUCCUCAAGAAAAUGAAAUUAUUGCGGAUAUCAUCGGAAGAUGAGAUGGCCGGUAUGGAUAUGACCCGGCACGGUGGUUUUGCUUAUAUGUACCAUGAUGAUGAUGAGUCUCACAAAGCCAUUCAGCUUAGAAGAGUUGAGCCAAGAUCUCCUUCUCCUUCUGGUGCUAAAACUAUUCCUACUCCGGUUUGAUUUGGAUUUUUAUUUUUACUUUGUGAUAUUUGAAUAUUGUUUUGGACGUCUCCUCCGGACAUUGUCGCUUAUCUCGGAAAUGUAGAAAAGAAGAAAUCUGACCACUCAAGAUCAUUUGUGUUCUCUUUAGAGUUUUCAUUACUGUGGAUGUCGGAUUUACACACUCAAGUAUUUUAUUAAAAAAGGAAAGAUUAUUCUUGAGGGACAAAAAUGAACGUAUAAAAACUUGUAAAUUGAUACGAAAAAUUACUAUUGUAUUUCUUUCUCGAGAGGAAGGGUCCCCCUUACAUGGCCAUUGGCCUCUAUAUUUAUACCUAGACAAGCGACAUUAAAAUGGAUAAUUAAGUACAAUUAUUCCCUCUUAAGUGUGUCCGUUUUGAUUCUUCGACUUUAAUGCUCAACGUUUGAAUUUGAGUUGACUCUGAUCUUCAUGGGCCUCGCCUUUUUGGCCCAAGUGUCCUUGAACCGACUUACCCGCAUCUUCUACACCGAACUCGUAUCACAGUGCAGUCACUUCGGAUUCUCGACGUGAUGACAACCACUUCGACCGUCCCCUCGGUUCACGGGCCCAAUGGGCUUCAUCCUUUCAUGGGCCACCCGCUUGACUACGUGGCAAUCUUUGGUUGGUCUCGUACUUCUGGUGCGGGAUCCGACACCAACAAUUAGCCCCCCAAGUUCUUCGAAGUGCUAUUCCAAUUCGGAGGACUUUAAAUGCUCAAGUGGCCAAAGAUUGCGCUCGAGAAUCUUUCUGAUUUCCCGCCGAAAAUCCCAUCACUCCUUUAAUUUCGGCACUAGCCAUUUUUAACCGAGUGACAUCUGUCAUCAUUAUGACCGUAUAUUGAUUAAUUACUAUUAAAACGGGAAAAACCUUCCCACUUCCCACACGACUUCCGAGGCGGUUUCAUCAUUAGCUUGAGGUAACUUCUUUUCACCAUUACUCUCUUCUUUUACUUUUGUACUUUAAUCAAAAACUCUCUCUCUGUUCCUUCACCAAAACCCUUCUUCGCCGGAUCUUGAAUUUUUCUUUCUUACCAAUGACUUCUGAUUCCGAUAGACCCGAGUCUCCGUCUUUUGACGAGAGGCGUUCUAGUAACGACGAGUGUACCCGCCCCGGUGACAUUGCCGGUCCGCACUAUAGGUCCACUUGUACUCUUCAAUCCCUCGAGCGAUUGAGAGAGCUUUGCCGGAUUCCGCCGGAAAUUAUGGCGGAAGCACAAAUAGCCUCCCCCACAGAAUCUCCGGAGAACCAUCGCGAUGGUUACUUCUGUGUGUAUGAGAUUUAUUUCAAAGGUUGCGGGCUGACCUUUCCUCUUCCCGAAGCCCUAAUUUUAUACCUAGCGGCCCUUGAAAUCGCUCUUCCUCAAUUAACCCCCAAUCUUCUUCGUACUAUUCUCGGCAUUAUAACAAUCGCGGCGGAGGCCGGUUACGUUAUCGGAGUUGCCGAACUAAAUGAGCUUCUAAGUGUGAGAAGCUCAUCGAAGAAAACGGGGUAUUUCUCAGCAUAUCCUAACGCCAACAGGAACAUCAUUUCGCAUCUUCCAAACAAGGAUGAAAAUUGGCAUCAUCCUUGGUUCUUGAUUAAGAAAACUCCCGCUUCGAUUGGAAAUCUUGCGGAUUUCCUCCCUUCGAAGUGGUCGGCGAAACCUGGUAGAGAUUAGGUCGCUCGUAUCUUUCCCGGUUGUUUCUUUAUCUUUAUUAACUAACACCGUUGUUUCAUUUCGCAGCUUUCAUCGCUUCCAAUCACCCAUCUGAAGAGUUCAUCGAAUUCUUCAAAAUAAUUCUUGAAGGGGAAACCCUUUGGAAUUCCUUCACUCUCGAACGAUUCAUAGAGGCUAACCACAGACUCAGGAUGAGUCCGCCUGGUCAUCUUCACCAAAUUCCUCCCCCUCCCUCAACUCAGGGAAUGUCAUCUCGGGCCCUUGCGGCCAAGCGUAAGUUGCUUUCCAAGCCGAUGGCUGAGGCUUGCAAGGAGAAGAAAAAGUUUCUUGCGACUUCUAUAGACAAGAGGGACUAUAGUAGGACCUUGCUGGUCGAUGAUGGCAGUACCGAGGGAGCCCGAUCUGUUGCUUCCUUCAGACUAACUCCCCGUCGCGAUCGUCGCGACUCACGUUCUCCUCGGAGGGUUCAAUCUCCUCAUCGUGAUUCACCUCGUCCUCCCCGAGAUGAUUUUAGUAACGAGCCAAUUAAGAACUUGGUUCGCCGGAAGAGAGACAAGUCCUCUCGCAGCGAUUCUUCUCCGCAGAGGGAAAAGUCGAGGGCUCGGACUGACCGCUCACCUCGAUCAUCUCCUCCUCCUGAACCAAUGGGUCCUCCACGCCCGGUUGAUAUGUCUUCCUCCUCCCAGCCUGAUAGUGGAAAGACUGCUCGGAGUGCGUCUCCGAAAAAGGGAGACUCUGAAUCUCGAGAUGCUUCCUCGAGGUUAAAACCUGCUCUUGUCCCUCAAGUCAAAUCACUUUCAGGUUUGAUGAUUUACAUACUUCAACUUUUUGUCUUUAUUAAAAUUCCAAUUUUUACAAUUCUUCCUUCCUUGCAGCUAUGGAGACAGAAGGCAGCGUCUUCCGAUGCUUCAAAACCCGUUCGGGUUCGAUCUUGCCAGAUUUCAACAAAUGGCGCCCUGCAAUCCGUGAACGCUAUUUGCUUCACGCUCACCACUCAUCUCGGGUUAGUUCCGUUUUUUUUUUUUUUUUUUGCAUUGCCAUUCUGCGAACUGACUCACCAUCCCUGGUUCAUGUAUAAUCCAGGCUCAGAGCGAAUUUAACGAUAUGAUCGAACAUUACGAAGGGUUGGUCAUCGGACGGGAGAAGGAGAUUGAUAUGUGGAAGAAGAAAUUCUCAGCUCUUGAGGCUGACCUCAACUCUUCCGAUGGCUCUAAGCACGAUCUGGAGGAUAAGGUCGAUAGGUUGACGUCGGAGCUUGCGCAGGUAAAGGAGGAGCUGCAGGGUCAGUACGACCAGAACUUCAAGCUCCAGGAAGAGUUUACUGGCGUUCAAGGUAGGCUUCAAGAGUCUGAAUCAAACGCUGAUUCCCUGAACACCCAACUCAUCGAGCUCAACGCGAAGUACAAGGCGCUAACCAAAUUGCGUGAUUCUGAGUUGGCAAGGUCGGCAUCGAAGGCCAGAAAGGAGAUUAAGGACGCGGGAUGGAAUUGAUCCAAGGGGCCAUUCGCUUUAUGCAAACCGAGAAAGCUAGGUCGGACUUGGAGUCAGACAUCAAGGAGCACGAAAGUAACCUGAUUCUGCUGGAUCAAAUCCAUGAAGCAGAUUUCUCCGAGGAGCAAGAAAGGACCGAGCUGUCGACUAACCUUUCUGAAAAACGGAGUCGCUUGGCAGCUCUUCCCACUUCGGCCUUCAACCCGCUUGACUUCGAGGCAUUCUUUACUGAAUCACCUCCAAUAAGUGAAUCGGGUUUAGACUGGGCAGGUAACGCUUGGCUCCUAAGGCUUACCUUUUCUUACAUUGUACCUUUGAUUGACUGGAAUUUUUAUUUCCAGGUUCGAGUGAGACGGAGGGCAUUGUCCCGCCCGUAGCUCCUGUGGUACCGGAGGUCACCCCGGAGGUUGGUUGUCCCGCGGAGGGUGAUCAGGGAGCUCCAUCUGAUCAAGCACCAGUCAAGGAGGUGAAUGAAACUCUGAUUGCUGAGCCGGAGUCCGAGGUGGAGAUCAUUCCGUAGUGGCUGUAUCCACUUUAAAUUGGGGAUUGUCCUUUUAAUUUUAAGACUUAAUUCCAAACUUAUUUUUGCCUAAGGAGGCUUUAUUUUCUGUUGAACAAGAUAUUCGCCUGAGGAGGCUUUUAAACCUUUUUAGGUUGUGACCCAAGGGGGUUUGGUUAAAAUUAUAUGCGGGUUUGCAAAGUCCGCUUUAACCUUUUGUGGCCUUGUGGCAAUGCUUUCGAGAUUUUUAGGCUGAUCAGACCUUUCUCUUUAGAAUGCGAGAACUGAGCUCGGCUUAAAGCGAGUUCCCCACUUCGGGUUUAGUUAACUCGAUAAAAUUGUUAGGCUUGGGCCUUAGAAAUUUUUGCAGUUGAUGCGACGGUUGCUUUUUCCCUUCUUAAAGGAAACGGCUCGUCUUUUAAUGCAAUAAUUGCCUUUUCUCGAUUUUCCAAAAAUGGUUUAACCCACUCGGAAACGCUACCAUUAAUGAAUUUAUGGUUCCAAGACAAACCCUAAAUCAUUAUAAAUAAAGGCUUACCUACCUCUAGGCUUUAUUAAGCAUGACUAUAGAAUCUCUCUUGAGAAAUAUUUUAAGAAUGGAAAACGAAGAAGUAGCCCCCAUCGCUCCCGGCAGCCCACUUUUCCUGUCCGGCGACGGAUUUGAACCGGCUGGCGUUCUCUUUCCUCACGCCGUCUUUCACUUCCCUUCAAAGGAGAAGAAAGAGGCUUGCGACUUCAUCGACAAGGUAAAUAUUCAAAGUUUUUUUUUUUUACUUAAAAACUUUUUUUUCGUUUUGCCUUAUUCACUCAUUUUUAUGCUAGGUCGUCGACAAGCACCGUUGCUUAUGUGAAGAGAGGCAGCGGCUGGGACUCAAAAAGCAGACGCUCGAGGCUCGCAUCGCCCGGGUGGAAAGGAAGAUACGGGCCCUGGAGAGCGAUCCCUUUCAAUGGGAGUGGCGGAACUUUGACUCCGUUGCUGAGAUCCCGAAGAUGCUUCGGAUGUAUCUUCGCGCUAGAGGAGUCCCGGGUCCCGUGAACGCCCCUGUCUGUGACAGUGAAGAGGAAGAGGACUUGGAGGAGGUGGCCAACAACUGCCGGAAACGCGUUCGAGAUCGUUCCGAAGUGGAUGCCACGAACAAGGCGUCCACUUCGGAAUCUAAGCCGGCGAUGAAGGAGUCUGUUCCUGAGCCUCUCCCAUAAAUGUUCUUUAACUUCCUCACUUUUCUCUUUUUUUUUUUUUUUAAAACUCGUAAUGGGCCUCGGCCCUUUUUAUUUAUGGAAAUAUUUGCAACUUUCCUUUCUUUCCAAAUAUUCUUGGAGAUGCGCCUUUCAAUGCAGGAUCCGUUCGAGGGCAUAAAUCUCUCCGCGAAUCAUUCCAUUCCUUGGAUAGAAUCCGCAGCUUGCUAGGGACAUGGGGUUCCUAUAAAUUAUAGGUUCAAUUCCCCUUUACUCCUCACCACUCUUUUUUCAUUUUAGCAGGCAUGGAGUUCAACCUACGCUGUUCAGAAUCUAUGCCCGACUUCUCCAGAAUCGGAAUGAUGAAUGAAGAUGUUCCAAGUGAGCCCAACAGGCAGCCUCCUCCACUUCGCGGCUUCUUGAGAUCUCAAAUCCGAGCCCCUUGCGCUCUGAUCAGGGAUCUCCCAAUCAGAGACCAAGGAACGGCGACGGCGUUCAUAGAGGCGCUCGAGCUUCAACACCGGAAGCUUACGUCGGAAAAGAGGAGACUUCGGAAGAGGAUUAACCGGAUGCAACGCAGGCUAACUUCAGUGUCAAGAAGUCUUCACAUCCUUGAAUCUCACCCCGGAGAGUGGACUGAGCUUGGAAUUUCUGACUUUGCUCGAAUUCCGGACUGCAUGAUGCCGAUCCUCGAUCUUGCUGGUCAAGGAGUUGAAGUGUUCUGCUCAUCAACAAGAUUUCCAUAAUCCGAAGUGUACGAUGAAGGACACUCCGUUUUUUUUUUUUUAUAACGCUCUAUUUCCAAUCUUUUGUACGUUCGCUUUAGCCGAACCUUCUAUUUGCUUCACUUGUUCGCAUAGCCGAACCUUCUUCCUUUAAUAAAGAAAUAAAACAAAAAUUUUAUUAAUAGCUGAACUCGUUUUCGAGCUGCCUACGUACCCAUUUCGGGAUCAAGCCAAAUCGUAGUUCAUGUACAUAAACAAUGCAUGUGGCUUUUAAACAUAAAACUUCUUUAAGUUGAUCACAUUCCAAGGUCGCUUGACUGGAUUGUCUUCUAGGUCUUUUAACCUAUAAACGCCGUUUCGAACCACCUCGGUAAUAAUGUAAGGUCCCUCCCAAUUAAUACCAAGUUUUCCAGCACCUUCUUCUUUUUUAUUGUCAAAGACGCGUCUUAAUACGUAAUCUCCCACGAAGAACGGCCUACUUUUAACUUUAGAAUUGUAAUACCGGGCUGCUGCCUGUUGGUAAUUCUGGAUCCGAAUUAGAGCUUGAUCCCGCCUUUCAUUUAUGGUAUCUAGUGAAUCGUUAAGCAUUGCUGAAUUUUCUUCCUCAUUUAACGGUGCUUCUGUUCGACGAAGUCCGGGCACAUUGAGUUCAGCUGGUACCACCGCUUCCAUGCCAUAAACCAAAGAGAAUGGAGUUUCUCCUGUAGGUCGCCUAGGGGUUGUACGAUAAGCCCACAGGACGGGUUGGAGUUCUUCAUACCAUCCUCCCUUCAGAUGACUUAAGCGUUUCUUGAGAUUGCUUAAUAUCGUCUUGUUCGCGGCUUCGGCUUGACCGUUUCCUUGCGGAUAUCUUGGAGUAGAGUAACUAACUUUAAUUCCCCAGUCCGCACAAAAGGCAUCAAACUCGUGUGAAAUGAAUUGCGGUCCAUUAUCAGUGACUAUUUCGUACGGAACUCCAUGUCGACAUAUAAUGUUUUUCCAAAUAAAGGUCUUCACCGCCGAAUCCUUGAUACCAACAUACGCCUCAGCUUCAAUCCAUUUCGAGAAGUAGUCCGUAAGGACUAAAAGGUACUGUACACCUCGAGUUGAUUUGUGCAAUGGUCCAAUGAUGUCCAUUGACCACCUCAUAAACGGGUAUGGGGCGGAAAUGGAGGAGAAUAACUCCGACGGUUGAUGGAUUAAUGGCGCAUGGAGUUGGCAGCGCUUGCAUCUUUGGGCGAACUUUACACAAUCUGUGAUCAUAGUGGGCCAAAAGUACCCCAUUCUUUUAACUUUAAAAGCCAUAGCUCUUCCUGAUGAAUGACUCCCACAUAACCCUUCAUGCACUUCGCUCAUGACAAUUUCGACUUCGGGCCCAAAAAUGCAUAAUAGGUAAGGGUCACUAACCCCUCGCCUAUAUAACGCAUCUUUUGAUAGGCAAAAUUUCGCGCUAACGACUUUCAUUUUCCUGGCCUUCCAUUUAUUCUUUGGGAGCUCGCCUGUCGUGAUGUAGUGCUUUAUUGGCUCCCUCCAAUCAGCCCCCCAGUCUUUAGCCGGAAUUUGGUCAACUUUGUGAAACAUCCGUGGCUCUGGUUCGGGAUGUUCGUUUGGUUCAAGAAUAGUCUCCUCGAGUAAUGGCUCUGUUUCUAACAUCGUUUCUGGAAUCAUUUCUUCAGCUAAGACAACGGGUUCCUUGUCAGAUGUACUUGAUCCCUUUGACUUUCUUCGUUUGUUGGGUGGCGGUUCGAUCUCUGGUUCGCCAUGGUCGCGUGCUGCUGCCCGAGACCUUGUAACGACGAGGGUUUCCUUGCUGUCUUGAAUGCUUCGCUCCGAGAUGCAUUCUACUGGAAUAACUCUCUUUAACUCAGGAUCUGAUGUUGACGCCAAUGCGGCAAGUGCAUCUGCAGUUGUAUUCUCUCCCCGAGGUAUACGGAUUAAUUCAAAUUUCGAGAAAUUUUUAGAUAGAUCCUUCACCACUUCGAGGUAUGCUUCCAUUCUUGAAUCUUUAGCCUCAUAGUCUCCAUUAAAUUGGUUAACUACUAAUUACGAAUCGCAAUAAGCCAAUAUUUCCUUAGCUCCAACUCCUUGUGCCAGUCGAAGUCCGGCGAUAAGGGCUUCGUAUUCUGCCUCGUUGUUAGAGGCGUUGAAUAACAAUCGGAAUGACUGUUCUAGAAUUUCUGAUGUUGGAGAUUCCAACUUGAUUCCUACUCCGGAUCCUUGUUUUGUUGAAGACCCGUCUACGUGUAAUUUCCAAGUUUGGUUCUCCGGUUGCUCUAUUGUUCCAGGUAUUGGUAGUUCGGUCAGGAAGUCUGCUAAGACCUGAGCCUUCAUACUGAUCCGGCUUUUGAACUCUAUGUCGUACUCGCUUAAUUCCACCGCCCAUUUCGCCAAACGUCUGGACUGACUUGGACUAUGAAGUAUUGUUCGGAGUGGCUGGUUAGUUAAUACUUCAACCGGAUGGGAUUGAAAAUAUGGACGCAGCUUCCGAGCCGAAGUUACCACCGCGAGUGCGAGUUUUUCCAUCAUUGUGUAUCUGGUUUCCGGAUCCGUCAUUGAUUUGCUCACGUAGUAAAUUGGUUUCUGCUCCCCACGGUCUUCCCGAACCAAGACUCCACUAACCGCGUGGUUUGAAACUGAUACGUACAAGUAAAGUUUUUCAUCUACUUCCGGUUUGGACAGUACAGGUGGAGUGGUUAAGUAUGCCUUAAGCUGCCCAAAAGCUUCUUCACCCUUCUCAUCCCAAAGGAAUCCUUUGUUUCCCUUUAGAAUUUGGUAGAAAGGCAACGACUUAUCUGUUGACCUCGAGAUAAAACGGUUCAAAGCCGCAAUCCGCCCAGUCAAUCGUUGUACUUCUUUGAAGUUUCUUGGAGAUGGCAUGUUCAGAAAGGCGUCAAUUUGAUUUGGAUUGGCUUCAAUCCCUCUUUCCGUCACGAUAUAGCCAAGAAAUUCUCCGGAUGGGACUCCAAAUGUGCACUUCGCCGGGUUCAGCUUCAUUUGAUAUUUAUUGAGAAUAUCAAAACAUUCCUCCAAAUGUUUAACAUGAUCUUCUUUCUUCAAUGAUUUAACCAACAUAUCAUCUAUGUAGACUUCCAUAGUCUUCCCGAGGUGAUUGUGAAACAUUUUGUUCACCAAUCGUUGGUAAGUUGCUCCUGCAUUUUUCAAACCAAAAGGCAUUACCUUGUAACAGUAGAUACCUCUAUCUGUGAUAAAUGACGUCUUCUCUUGAUCUUCGGGGUUCAUCAUUAUCUGAUUAUAACCCGAGAAGGCGUCCAUGAACGUUAACAGCUCAUUUCCGGCGGUGGACUCUACAAGUCGAUCUAUAUGCGGGAGCGGGAAACUAUCUUUAGGACAUGCUUUAUUCAGGUCCGUAAAAUCGAUGCAAACCCUAUCUUUCCCGUUCUUUUUCUUGACAACGACAGUGUUUGCUACCCACUCCGGAUAUUGCACUUCUCUUAUGGACCCUAUCUUCAAGAGUUUAUCCACUUCGUCGUUUACUAUUUUUGCCCGUUCCACUCCAAGCUUUCUUCUUUUUUGUUUCACCGGUUUGAAGCUUGGAUCUACGUUUAGUUCAUGACAAAUUAUACUCGGAUUUAUACCCGGCAUGUCCGCUGCUGACCAUGCAAACGAUGCUUUGUUUUUCCUUAAGAGUUCGAUCAAAGCUUCUUUUAUUCGGCCAGUCAAAGUUGCUCCAAUUCUAAUUUUCCGGUCCGGCUUGUCUUCUUCCAGUACCACUUCGACUACUACAUCCUCUUUCUUCUGCCCGCUAGGAAAUUUUGUUCUUAGUCCCUCUUUUGCGGGCUUUGUUAAUUGCUAUUGAAUCUUCAAGCGGUGGCUAGCUAAGUAACACGUCCGUGAAGCUUCUUGAUCUCCCCGAAUUGUUUCCACCCCAUUUGAUGUUGGAAAUUUGAUACAUUGAUGGUAUGUAGAGGGGACUGCUUUCAUCCGAUAAAUCCAGGGAGUCCCGAGGAUGAUGUUGUAAGCUGCAGGCUUAUCGAAGACAACGAAGUCCACGAUCUUUGAUACCUUCUUGGCAAGGACCGGUAGCUUGAUUGUUCCGAGAGACAUGGCUGACUCGCUUGUGAAUGCUACUAAUGGAGACGGAGGCCCCACUAUGUCUGCUCGGCUGAUUCCCAUUCUUUCUAGAGUACUUAAAAAGAUCAAGUCGACCGAACUGCCUGUAUCUACAAGGAUCCUCGAUACUUCGAAGUUAGCAACAUCAAGAGUAAUGACUAGAGCAUCAUCAUGCGGUCUUUCGAGAUGCCGCGUUUCUUCUUCGUUAAAUGAUAUUGAGGCACCUUGAAAAUCAACCUCUUCGCUCAAGCUUGCUUUGAGCAAGACAUUUCGUCUAUGCUUUUUGAUGGAACUUACUGAAUCUCCGCAAAAUCUGGAACCUCCUAGAAUCACAUUGAUCUUUCCCUUUGAACUCCUUGGUUCUUCCUCGUUGGAUAACCUUGGUCUUUUGGAAUCUUGAUCUUUGGAGUUUUCCUUUGCUUCGUGGUAUUCCUUCACAAAAUCUUUUAUAUCGAAUUUAGAAAGAUCGCCACUAGCCCAAAGCUCUGCGAGGUGCUUUUUAAGUACGCUGCAAUCUUUGGUUAAAUGUCCGGUUACUUUAUGAAUGUCGCAAUAUAGACUUUCAUCACGGACCCAAGUGUUUGAUCUUCCUUUCCCUUGGAAUUGCUUCCCGACGGAAUUGUUGAAGGGUUGCGACCCAAACUUCCUUGGUCCUUUGCUCUCUCUAGGCUCGAACUUCUUGGUAGGGACGGUGACUGCCGGCUUUUCUUGUUUAUUCCGUUUGGCAAAACUUUCUUUUUCGUCCUCUACCUCCAUCCAGUUGUUCGCGCGGAAGAGUGCAUCCUGAAUUGUGUCCGGUUUGUGAAGUAUUAAGUCUUCUUUAAACCUUGAAUCAUGUCGCAGUCCUUUUCGUAGGGCAGAUAAAGCUGAUUGUUGUGAGAUUCUUGGGAGCUUUGACAGCACUCCUUUGAAUUUGGUGAUGAAAACUCGAAGUGACUCAUUAGAUCCUUGCGUUAAGUUCCAAAGAUCGGCAUCUGAAACGCUUUUAUCCAUAAGGAUGGAGUAUUGCUUUAAGAAUACGGCUGAUAGUUCGUCGAAAUUACUGAUCGAACCCGGCUCUAAUUGGGUGAACCACAUUAGAGCUUGGCCACACAGAUUCUCCGAAAAAAGCUUGCAGUAACCUGCAUCCUCAUCAGCUUCAUCCAAUUCGACUCUUCCAGCAGCGAUCAGAAAAGCUGCGAGAUAGCUUUUUGGAUCCUCCAAUCCGCUGUAAGGGUCCAACUUGAGCUUCCGGGAAUCUUUGAUCCUCAAGCUUGCAAUUCGCGGGAUAAAAGGGGUUCGCCUAGCUUCUUCAAUGACUCGAUUGAUGUCUGGCUCCGAACUUGUAGCCUGAUGAAAUUUUGAUUUCAUUUCUUUUAAUUCCUGGCUAACCUUCCCCAUGGUCUCGAACUGGUCGAGGUUCUCCUGCUCAUACUGAGCUGCAAGUUGUUCUUCAUCCCCGAGUUGCGUCUCUUCUUCCGACGUCUGAGCUACAUUAUUAGUAGCUCCGGGAGUUGUUUGUCCGCUGAUUUCAUUUCGUGCAGCGGAACUUGGCGAGUUGAAUAUCCCUCUUCGGAUUCCCACCGGGUUUCCUGCACUUAAAGAGCGAACACGAGUUUGUAUAGAAUUGACGUUUUGACUAAGAGAUACCUGGGAUGUUUGCAACGUAUCGACGGCCUUCUCCACAUCCGAGAAUUUUUGUGAUAUGUCCGACAUGGUUUGCUGCAUAGCUUUGAGGGUUUCGGCCAACGAUGUCUCAACGGCGUCUCCUCCGGACAUUGUCGCUUAUCUCGGAAAUGUAGAAAAGAAGAAAUCUGACCACUCAAGAAUCCUGAUCUUCCCCACAGACGGCGCCAAAAUGUGGAUGUCGGAUUUACACACUCAAGUAUUUUAUUAAAAAAGGAAAGAUUAUUCUUGAGGGACAAAAAUGAACGUAUAAAAACUUGUAAAUUGAUACGAAAAAUUACUAUUGUAUUUCUUUCUCGAGAGGAAGGGUCCCCCUUACAUGGCCAUUGGCCUCUAUAUUUAUACCUAGACAAGCGACAUUAAAAUGGAUAAUUAAGUACAAUUAUUCCCUCUUAAGUGUGUCCGUUUUGAUUCUUCGACUUUAAUGCUCAACGUUUGAAUUUGAGUUGACUCUGAUCUUCAUGGGCCUCGCCUUUUUGGCCCAAGUGUCCUUGAACCGACUUACCCGCAUCUUCUACACCGAACUCGUAUCACAGUGCAGUCACUUCGGAUUCUCGACGUGAUGACAACCACUUCGACCGUCCCCUCGGUUCACGGGCCCAAUGGGCUUCAUCCUUUCAUGGGCCACCCGCUUGACUACGUGGCAAUCUUUGGUUGGUCUCGUACUUCUGGUGCGGGAUCCGACACCAACAAUUACCUUUUAAGUAUCGUCCUCAUAAUUUGCAAUUAAUAAUAAAUCUAGACGACAAAAAAAAAAGAUUGCGCUCGAGAAUCUUUCUGAUUUCCCGCCGAAAAUCCCAUCACUCCUUUAAUUUCGGCACUAGCCAUUUUUAAUAACUCGGCUAACGGCGCAGAACAAAUCCCAAUAUUAAGAGCAAAGCCACCACACCAUUCUCCGGACUCAUCUCUUAAAACACCAGCGGCCGUUGCUAAACCCGGAUUGCCUCUAGAAGCCCCAUCUGUGUUCAGCUUUAACCACCCCUCCCCUGGCUUUUUCCAAGCUAUUUGCCUCUCCACUCGCGUCCCUGAAGUUCCUUGCAUUGACUCAAUACUUCAAUAGACAUAAAUAUAUGUCUCGCUUUCUAGAAACAUUAAUAACUAGCUUGAACCAUUUUCUCGAAGUAUAUAAUGUCUGAUAUUUUGUGAGUCUCAACUACUCUCUUUCAUAUCUAACAGAACAUGAUUAUUUAUAGAAUCAUAAUUAUAUCGUAUUACGUCACUUACUAGACUUUAGAUUCCAGCUAGUUGCAGUUGUUUUACAUACUUUGAACAACCAAGCACGAAACUCAAAUUUCA
rnacentral:lncRNA from 1 species